ensembl:lncRNA
AACCAGUUAUUCUAAACUUUUGACCAGUAGUGUACAUUCCUGGGUAAAAAAAAAGAAAAAAAAAUUGUUCAUACAUAUUAUUUUAAACAUAUUUAAUCUGAAAUAUGGGGAAAUUUGAUGGGUUUUAUUAAACUGAUCAGUGAUUGAAUUAUAAGCUCAAAUAUGUAAAUAUAAGCUCAAAAUAUGGUUGCAAAGGGUUUUAAAAAAUAUUUUAUAGUAAAUAAGUAAGUGGGCAUAAGUUUUAUUAAUUUAGCUAAAACAUCAUUUAGCUAAAAAGUUUAUAUCAUAUCUGAUCAAAUCAUCUGUAAAUUUUGCUAGUGUAUUUGAUUUCCUAACAUAUGAAAGAUUGGACAAAAUCUGGCUUUUGAAUUUUAUAAAUAUAUAAAAUUCUUUUGAUUUUAUAAUGUUCAGGCUAUCUGGGGCUAAUUUGAAUGCUUUUCCCUGGAAAAAAAUGAAACAUGCACUUUUAGAGUCUUCACCUUUUCAAACACUGUUGGUCUAUUUUUUUAUUGUUUAUGGUGAAAAUCAAGCUAAUUUUUGCCUGAAUCUGGAUCCAUAACAUCGACCAGAUGGCUCUUCUCAAAAUCGAUUUUAUGGUUUUUGAACUAAUAAAAUAGGAAAAGGGCAAUAUCACAAGUAUUAACACGCAAAAUCAUAUUCUGAAAUGUUUUCUGAAUUAAUUCCAUUGUGUUUAUUAUGUUUUAUAGAAAAAAGUUGCAAUUAUAUCUAUAAAGUAUCCUAAAGUAAAGUACGAUUUAGUAAGUCUGAGCUUGAAUGUUGUAUUGAGAAAGAACUUACUGAAACUGGAUGAGAAAGUAUAAUGCUGUCAUCAUGUUUGUGUUUUUGUCUUUUUUGUGUUUUUUUAAGGAAAGCACAAAAUGGCAGCAAAUGUAGGUUCAAAUUUCUGUAAAACAUGAAACUGUAGUGAUGGGGUGGUCAUGUAGCUCUAACUAGCAUAAGCAUAAAGCCAGAUACAUACUCAAUAAAACUGAGUUUGUGUAGCAUUUGACAUCACAGACUUGCAUAGAGUAUGUUUCAGGCCGAACAUUUUGUCUUCAUAUCAAAUAUGGUGUUUUUCUUAACUCUUGUGCUUUACCUCACUUGGUGUUUCCAGUCAAAAAUGUCUUUUGCCUUUUAAAAACUGCUUGUAAAUCUCUCAUUAUGCUACACUAUCACCAUCUUCUUUUGAACUUGUUUUCUUUUAAUUAACUAAGCUCUUUUAUUUCUUUUUGAAAGUGACUGGUCAUCUGAGCUUAUUCACAUCAGUUUGUAAAUGACAAAAAAAAAGCAUUAUUUGUGGGUAAUUUUGCCAAUAUUCCCUCAAAAACUAAAGUGCAUAAGCUUAAAUGUGUUCUAAUUAAAUGAAAACAAGUUAAUAAAAAAGACAAUAUAAUAUCUGGUUAUAAUAUAGCAUAACAAGAAGACAUUCAUAAGGAUUUUUUUGGUAGGCAGAUAAUUUUUAAUCAGGAAAAAAAUACCAAAAAAGUACAAAAAUUAUUUAAAAAAAAAACAUUGGGAAGUUGUUAUACCACAUCUCUGUAAGCAAAGUUGCCACAUUUUAGUCAAAUUGAAAUCCAAUGAAAUUAAAUAGGAUUUUCAGGAAAAAGAAAAUCCUCUCUUGGUUAAAAUGACUGGAACACAAUGAGUUAAGAAUGCUAAAUGUUUUGCUUUCGCUUAUCACAUCAAGAUUUGCCUUUAUGUACCAAAUACCACAUGAGCUCAUUAGUAGAAAAUGUAAUUUAGUUCAUGAGACACAACGUAAGUUGGAUGUUUUGAUCAUAUGACCAUUGGGAUUCGACCAUAUGAGGUAUUUUCUGCAGAUUUUGACUGCUCUGAUCUGGACUGAAGUGGGGUUUUGCCCAUACGCCAAGCUGACUACACAAUAACUUUGCACAAUUACUUUUGAAAUGAAUAUGGAAUUUCUAAUGAAGCAUAAAACACCAGUUCAUUAGACCCCCAUCAUCAUACCAGCAUCAGCGAGUUUUACUGAAAGCCUACGAAAGAUUUUCAGCUUCUGACUUUAGCGACAUCUGUGGCCUGAAUCCUUCUCAUAGCACUGUUUAUUAUCUUUAUUUUUAUGAUAUUUACUUUGACAUCUGAAAUGAUCAGUAUACGUACAUUAGAACAUUUAUAUGUGGUUUUUGUUAUUUGUUUUUGCUGCAAAUGAAUUUUCCUGGUGUGUGAGCUACUGUUGUAUGUUUCAAAAUAAUGAAUGUAAUUGGUGCUGGGGUCAAAAAGAAUAAAAAAAU